AGUGAACGCUGGCGGUAGGCCUAACACAUGCAAGUCGAACGGCAGCACAGUAAGAGCUUGCUCUUACGGGUGGCGAGUGGCGGACGGGUGAGGAAUACAUCGGAAUCUACUUUUUCGUGGGGGAUAACGUAGGGAAACUUACGCUAAUACCGCAUACGACCUACGGGUGAAAGCAGGGGAUCUUCGGACCUUGCGCGAUUGAAUGAGCCGAUGUCGGAUUAGCUAGUUGGCGGGGUAAAGGCCCACCAAGGCGACGAUCCGUAGCUGGUGUGAGAGGAUGAUCAGCCACACUGGAACUGAGACACGGUCCAGACUCCUACGGGAGGCAGCAGUGGGAAAUAUUGGACAAUGGGCGCAAGCCUGAUCCAGCCAUACCGCGUGGGUGAAGAAGGCCUUCGGGUUGUAAAGCCCUUUUGUUGGGAAAGAAAAGCAGCAGGUUAAUACCCCGCUGUUCUGACGGUACCCAAAGAAUAAGCACCGGCUAACUUCGUG
rnacentral:rRNA from 1 species